GACGAACGCUGGCGGCGUGCCUAAUACAUGCAAGUUGAGCGCUGAAGGUUGGUACUUGUACCGACUGGAUGAGCAGCGAACGGGUGAGUAACGCGUGGGGAAUCUGCCUUUGAGCGGGGGACAACAUUUGGAAACGAAUGCUAAUACCGCAUAAAAACUUUAAACACAAGUUUUAAGUUUGAAAGAUGCAAUUGCAUCACUCAAAGAUGAUCCCGCGUUGUAUUAGCUAGUUGGUGAGGUAAAGGCUCACCAAGGCGAUGAUACAUAGCCGACCUGAGAGGGUGAUCGGCCACAUUGGGACUGAGACACGGCCCAAACUCCUACGGGAGGCAGCAGUAGGGAAUCUUCGGCAAUGGACGAAAGUCUGACCGAGCAACGCCGCGUGAGUGAAGAAGGUUUUCGGAUCGUAAAACUCUGUUGGUAGAGAAGAACGUUGGUAGAGAGUGGAAAGCUCAUCAAGUGACGGUAACUACCCAGAAAGGGACGGCUAACUACGUGCCAGCAGCCGCGGUAAUC
rnacentral:rRNA from 1 species